UGAAUAUGAUGAAACUUUUCAUCAGUUCUGCUUAUGAAGAAUUGUGAUUAUACCCAAUACCAAAACAUCUGAUUG